AUCUCCCUGGAGAUCCCUGCCUACUUGAGGCCUUCUGAAGUAUUUCAGCAGCUGGAGCCUCACAGGAGCUAUCGCUGUCUGGCUGACACAGAGGCACCAUCCUGGCGGAGAGGUCUCACCAUCCCUGCCGGGGUCUGAGGAAUUCUCAGAUGUUACCUCAGUGUGGGCACCCUAUGGCAUCCCUGCUCUGCCUUGGUAGGUGGGUCUCCUGGUACUGCUUUCUAUAUGAAAAGCUUGCACUUCCCAGCUGAAGUCCAGAUGCUGCAUUUAUGGUGGUAUAUUGUCCUGAUCAAUUUUUAAAAAACAUUUUCCUAUCCGUGAAAUUAAUGGGUGCCUGGAGAAAUAGCAGCUCCUCCCUGCUCCUGUCAAUGCUAACCUUUCCCAGAUGGGAAGAGACUUCUCCUUCCCUUUAUUUACCUGCAAGAUAUCCUCGCUAGUGCUCAAAACCACAAAAGGAGAGGAAAAAUAAUAAAACCUCUGUAAGUGGAAAGCAUUACCAACAGAACAACUGCGCCUACUCCAGCUGAGCACUGCCUUCCCAGGCUCCAUUACAGUGACUAAGCCCUGCAUAAUCUUCCCGGGGUCACAGAGUGAGCCAUUAGCAAGACAGCGCUAAGACAGAGGCAUCCUGAAUUUUGUAACUGCACUGAUUACUUUAAGACCCCAAUUUAAAAGGCCGUAGGUUUGUACUGGCAGCACAGUCAUACAGAUAGCUACUUACAGCCUUACAAAUUGGUUUUCUUGCAAUCAUCAUCUUGCUACUAUGUGCUGGCAGCAGUUUUUGUUAUGUUUUGUCUUUUUCACUUGUCUGUGUGCUGCUGACCAUUAUUUGUGUUGUGAUUGGCUGCGAAAAAGAUGAAGGAAGGCUGAGAGGAGAGGAGCCUCACCCUGUCCUGGUGCUCCUGCAGCAGGCCGUGCUGCUGCACUGGUCAACAUUGCCUCCAUCUCUCAGCAUUGCUUUCCCACGUGUGUGAAUGCACCCACUGGGUAGCCCAGGAGGGUGUACUGGGCUGCCUGAUCCAACCAGCCACCAUAUUGUGUGGGUUAUGAAGGCUGCUUCAGUGGGCAUCAAAAUGAAUGUUUGUACUUCAUUCUGUGUCCUGGAUGGACUCUUUAUUAUUGUAAUGUCUCAGACCUCAGCUCUCAAAGGCUGAUAAUCACUCAGGUGGAUGGACUUCAAAAGGCAAUGCCUCCAUAGAGAACACCUCUGGCUGUCUCGGUUGACACCUUCUUACCAUAGGCAUAGUGGAAAAGCUGCACAGGCUUACAACAGAUUAAUAAAAAGAAAUAUUUGCUUCUGUAUUAGAAAAAUACGCAUUGCACUUUAUAUCUUUUUUUUUUUUUUAGCAAUGUUUCCUUUCCCUUUAAUUUUUUCUUCCCAGUAAGAUGGACCCAGGUGUCAUUGCGUUGUUGUAACACGCACAGUAAUUUCAGAUGAUUAAUACUGCGACACC
ensembl:lncRNA